rnacentral:rRNA from 1 species
AAGCGGUGGAUGAUGUGGAUUAAUUCGAUGCAACGCGAAAACCUUACCUACCCUUGACAUGUCCGGAAUCCGAAGAGAUUUGGGAGUGCUCGCAAGAGAACCGGAACACAGGUGCUGCAUGGCUGUCGUCAGCUCGUGUCGUGAGAUGUUGGGUUAAGUCCCGCAACGAGCGCAACCCUUGUCAUUAGUUGCCAUCAUUUGGUUGGGCACUCUAAUGAGACUGCCGGUGACAAACCGGAGGAAGGUGGGGAUGACGUCAAGUCCUCAUGGCCCUUAUGGGUAGGGCUUCACACGUCAUACAAUGGUCGGUACAGAGGGUUGCCAACCCGCGAGGGGGAGCUAAUCCCACAAAGCCGAUCGUAGUCCGGAUCGCAGUCUGCAACUCGACUGCGUGAAGUCGGAAUCGCUAGUAAUCGUGGAUCAGCAUGUCACGGUGAAUACGUUCCCGGGUCUU